rnacentral:rRNA from 1 species
AAGAGACCUUACAGGCCUUGAAACAAUGAACUUUCUAGAGAUAGAUUGGUGCUUCGGAACAUUGAGAAGGUGCUGAUGGUGUCGUAGCUCGUGUAGUGAGAUGUUGGGUUAAGACCCGUAACGAGCGCACCCUUGUCCUUAGUUACCAGCACGUUAUGGAGGGCACUCUAAGGAGAUGCCGGUGCAAACCGAGAAGGUGCGGAUGACGUCAAGUAUCUUCGCCCUUACGUCUGGGUACCACGUGCUCAAUGAUCGCACAGAGCUACGCAAGCCGCGAUGGCAGCUUUCCCCGUAGCGAUCUAGUACGGUCGCGUCUGAACUCGCUGCGUAAGCGGUUCGCAGUAUCGCGAAUCAGAUGCGCGGGAUACUUCCCUGCCUUGACAAUCGCCCGUACAACGUGGAGUUGUUCCUCAGAAGUUGCUGUUAUCCUUCGGGGGCGGUUUUACGUAUUAUUCAUGAAUAGGGGAAUCGU